ACGGAGGAUGCAAGCGUUAUCCGGAAUGAUUGGGCGUAAAGCGUCCGCAGGUGGCGAUGUAAGUCUGCUGUUAAAGAGUGAGGCUCAACCUCAUAAGAGCAGUGGAAACUACAUAGCUAGAGUGCGGUAGGGGCAGAGGGAAUUCCUGGUGUAGCGGUGAAAUGCGCAGAUAUCAGGAGGAACACCGGUGGCGAAGGCGGGUCUCUGGGCCGAUACUGACGCUGAGGAGCGAAAGCGUGGGGAGCGAACAGGA
rnacentral:rRNA from 1 species